rnacentral:rRNA from 1 species
UACGAAGGGGGCUAGCGUUGCUCGGAAUCACUGGGCGUAAAGCGCACGUAGGCGGCUUUCUAAGUCAGGGGUGAAAUCCUGGAGCUUAACUCCGAAACUGCAUUCGAUACUGCGGUGCUUGAGGACUGGAGAGGAGACUGGAAUUCAUGGUGUAGCAGUGAAAUGCGUAGAGAUCAUGAGGAAGACCAGUGGCGAAGGCGGGUCUCUGGACAGUUCCUGACAGCUGAGACACGAAGGCCAGGGGAGCAAACGGG